rnacentral:rRNA from 1 species
GUACCCGCUGAACUUAAGCAUAUCAAUAAGCGGAGGAAAAGAAACCAACAGGGAUUGCCUCAGUAACGGCGAGUGAAGCGGCAACAGCUCAAAUUUUAAAGCUGGCGUCCUCGACGCCCGCGUUGUAAUUUGGAGAGGCAUCUUCGGUUUGGGCGCCAGCCUAUGUUCCUUGGAACAGGACGUCACAGAGGGUGAGAAUCCCGUGCUUGGCUGGCUGUCCCUCUCCAUGUGAAGUGUCUUCGACGAGUCGAGUUGUUUGGGAAUGCAGCUCAAAAUGGGUGGUAAAUUUCAUCUAAAGCUAAAUAUUGGCGGGAGACCGAUAGCGCACAAGUAGAGUGAUCGAAAGAUGAAAAGCACUUUGAAAAUAGAGUUAAAAAGUACGUGAAAUUGUUGAAAGGGAAGCGCUUGAGACCAGACUCGGCCGGAGACGAUCAGCGGUCCUUUUGGGCCGUGCACUCGUCCUCGGUUGGGCCAGCAUCGGUUGAGACGGUGGGAUAAAGGUCUGGGGAAUGUGGCUCCUUUCGGGGAGUGUUAUAGCCCCGGGCGCAAUGCCGCCAGCCUCGACCGAGGACCGCGCUCUUUUGCUAGGAUGCUGGCGUAAUGGUCUUCAGCGACCCGUCUUGAAACACGGACC